GUACUUGCUUUGGCAGGAUAGAUACUAAAACUGGAAUGAUACAGAGAAAAUGGACGCGGUCCCUGUUCAAGAUGACAUGCAAAUUUGUGACACAGUCCAUAUUUUU
ensembl:snRNA U6 U6 spliceosomal RNA